ACCAAUUUCAAAAAUUCUUGUGUUUGCGUUCCCUGGCAAGAAUUCUCCGUUCGUAAGCUGGUCUCUUCCCAUCUCACAUGGCGUCUCACGGAUCACACUUGGCUUCGCUCGGCAAGGAAAGUGUUUAUCUUCUUCCGAUAUGUCUUAGUAGCUCCGGCCAACCGUCUUCUCGCCCGGGCUGCUUCGACACGAGGACCACCAAAGGAGGCGUCCACGAAGGCACCUUCAGCCAGGUGAGUUCAAGCACCGCAGACCGCCUCUUUCGGCUGGCCACCCCCCUGCUGGCCACUCUUCUUUUCGCCUACACCACCUAUUUGUCGAUGGAAAUGGAAGGCGACCCUCUCACUGUAUCUUUUUCUCUUGCGCUCUACUGUGUGUUUUUGCUCUCCACAGCUUCCAUCCUCUACGCUCAUUCCCUACGAAAUGAAGGAUCACAGGAGAAGAGGAAAAAGGGCUUGUACAUAGUGAUCUCUCUCUUUUGUGUCAUCGGCCUUGCUUUCUUCACACGCGUCUAUGUCAUUCUCCCUCGACCGGCUUACUGCCUUCUCAUGUUACCUUGGUUGCUGCCAAUAUCUGCCAUCCUUGCGUUCUACUUCAUCCGCCUUCGAAUCCUCUCAUCUGCCCGUGUAGUUGCAACGGCGGCUUACUAGGUGAUUUGAGUUUCCGAGUUCAUGUACCCUGCUCUGUUUCACCUCGUUCCUCUCCUUCAGGCUUGUUCCGUGCCGUCCCUCUGCCUUCACAGCCUUCGCAAACCGUAUUCUGUGGUUCUUACUGCGUCCUAUCGUAAUAAAUUGUUAAAAUUAGUUGUCAUAUUGAUGUUGUACAAAGCUUUAUUGUGUUUCUGAUAAAUAAUGUAUGGUUGUAUUUAGAUGUAUUGGAUCUACCAUUGUCAAUUGGAUUAGAAAUGGGAUCUUAACUUCA